GACGUAGGGCGCGAGCGUUGUCCGGAUUUAUUGGGCGUAAAGAGCUCGUAGGCGGCUUGUCGCGUCGUCCGUGAAAACUUGGGGCUCAACCCCAAGCUUGCGGUCGAUACGGGCAGGCUAAGAGUUCGGUAGGGGAGACGUGGAAUUCCUGGUGUAGCGGUGAAAUGCGCAGAUAUCAGGAGGAACACCGGUGGCGAAGGCGG
rnacentral:rRNA from 1 species